UCGGAGCUGUCAGCACAGAGCCCGACGCGGGGCUUGAACUCACGGACCGUGAGAUCAUGACCUGAGCCGAAGUCGGCCGCUCAACAGACCAAGCCACCCAGGCGCCCCAAUUAUUAUGUAUUUAAAACCAAAAUCAUUAGAAGGCCAGAGACGAUGGUGUGCCCUUUGCUACAAUCAUGGUUCUUGAGGGGAGCACGUGAGGCAAUAAACCCUGGAUGGAUCUUAGCGCCUGCUGAUGGAACACCACCUUCCUACCCAGAAUCUGCCUUCAGACCCACUCCUCAAACCACAAAUUCAGGGGCCUCACCCGGAUCUCCCCACCCUGUGGAGGGUCCAGGCCCAGGUCACACCUCUGCCUGUGGCUCUGGCCAGAAUAUCCCAAGAGCCUUGAGCAGGUGGGACAUUUUCCUCUUUGGAGCUUAAAGCUCUAUUUUGGCAGCUGCGUGCCUCACCCAGCAGGACAGGGUGGGUGAGGACCACCAUCCCCAAUUCUGAACAGGGUCAAGGCCCAGGGAGACGCGGCCACUGGCCAAAGGUCAACAGCAGAACCAAAGCCACCUGAGCCCAGCUGCUGAGGAAAAGGAGGCAGAGGCUCAACAUCUGGGCGGCUGCCCCCUGGCCCACUGCCGGUCUUCCCUGCCCCCAUCCCAGCUCCGCAAAGGCCAGGAACAUCUGGCUGCUGGCCUCAUUCCAGGAGGGAGCUCCGCCAAGCUCAGUCUGCAGAUUCAAACCCCACCGGCCCUGACUUUUCCUGGGGGAAGGGGUUCCCCAGGGGCUACCUGGGAGGAGCACCAGACCCUAACCCUCACUGGUAUGUCCCACCCUGUUCUUCCCGCCCUGCCCGUGCAUUUGCUCAAGGGACCAGAUCUGAGCUAAGCAAUUCACACAUUUUAUGUGUCCUGACCGGGGAGACGAGCACUUUCUCACCAUCUUCAUGUUAACAAAUGAAAAAACUCAGGCUCAGAGAAGUUAACUCACUUGCUCAGAAUGACACAGCAAGUCAGAGUCUGCCUGAUCUCCAAACCCAAGCUCAUUCCUUGCUUUUCUUGCUGAAAAUACUGUUCUUUCUCCAUUGAAUGGUCUUGGCAGCCUUGUUGAAAAUCGGUUGACCACAGAGAUGUGGAUUUAAUUCUGGACUCUCAGUUCUAUUCCAUUGAUCUAAAUGGCUAGCCCUACGCUGGUACCAUAUUGUCUUGCUUAGUGCUGCUCUGCAGUGAGUUUUGAAAUUGGGAAAUGUGAAUCCUCCUACUUUAUUCUCCUUUUUCAGGAUCAUUCUGGCUAUUCUGGAUCCCUUGAAAUUCCAUAUGAACUCUGGAAUUAGCUUAUCCGUUUGUGCAAAGAAGUCAGCUGGGGUUUUGACGGAGAUCGCAUGGACUCUGUAGAUCAGUUUGGAGAGUAUUGCCAUCUUAGUAAUAUUAGUGGAAUCUUCCAAUUUAUGAGUAUCUGAUAUUUUUCCAUUUAUUUAGAGCUUCUUCAGUCUCUUCCAACAACGUUUUCUACUUUUCAGAGACAACUUUUGCACUUAAUUUUGAUAAAUUUAUUUGCAUGCAUUUUGUUCUUUUUGAAACGACUGUGAAAGAAUUGUUUUCUUAAUUUCAGUUUUGGAUUGCUCGUCGCAAAUGUACCGAAGCACAACAGAGUCUGGCAUAUUGCUCUUGUAAACUGCAACCUUGAUGAACUCAUUUAUUAGGUCUAAUAGUUCGUUAAUGAGUUCCUUAGGGUUUUCCAUGUACAGGAUCAUGUCACCUGUAAAUAAAGAUUAGUUUUACUUCCCUCUGUCCAA